GCUAUUGGAGUUCGAUUAAGCCAUGCGAGUCGAGAGUCUUAGGGACUCGGCGUACCGCUCAGUAACACGUGGGUAACCUGCCCUAUGCUGGGGAAUAACCUCGGGAAACUGAGAAUAAUGCCCCAUAGUCCACAAUGCCUGGAACGGUUUGUGGAUCAAAGCUCCGGCGGCAUAGGAUGGGCCUGCGGCGUAUCAGGUUGUAGGGGGUGUAACGUACCCUCUAGCCAUCAACGCGUACGGGUGUUGGGAGACAUAGCCCGGAGAUGGAUUCUGAGACACGAAUCCAGACCCUACGGGGUGCAGCAGGCGCGAAAACUUGGCAAUGCGAGAAAUCGUGACCAGGGAACUCCAAGUGGCUGGGGUAAGACCCAGUCUUUUCUUGACUCUUCAACGGUCUUGGAAUAAGGGGUGGGUAAGGACGGUGCCAGCCGCCGCGGUAAUACCGGCGCCUCAAGUGGUAGUCGAUUUUAUUGGGCCUAAAACGUCCGUAGCCUGUUUGGUACAUUCGUGGGUAAAUCAACCAGCUCAACUGGCUGAAUUCUGCGAGCACGGCCAGACUUGGGACCGGGAGAGGUGUGGGGUACGCUCAGGGUAGGGGUAAAAUCCUGUCAUCCUGAGCGGACCACCUGUUGCGAAGGCGCCACACUAGAACGGAUCCGACGGUCAGGGACGAAGCCUAGGGGCACGAACCGGAUUAGAUACCCGGGUAGUCCUAGGUGUAAACGCUGUGGACUUGGUGUUGGGGACUCUCCGAGAUUCCUCAGUGCCGAAGCGAAGGUGAUAAGUCCACUGCCUGGGGAGUACGGUCGCAAGGCUGAAACUUAAAGGAAUUGGCGGGGGAGCACCGC
rnacentral:rRNA from 1 species